rnacentral:tRNA from 1 species
GUUAUUUUGGCAGAGUAGUGCGUUGGAUUUAGAAUCUUUUUAUGUAAAAAUUUACAAAUAAUA